GGCGUUUCAUAGGUGUGCAGCCAAAGCUGCAAUCAUGUGUCGGGCGGGAGCAGGUGCUAGCGCGCCUCCGCGAGAUGGGCGGUGGCGUGGAGGAUGACCGACGAGCGCGAGGGAGGCGGACGCAGCUGACCUCCUUCUCUCCCUGUGGGAGCAUCAUCUUCUCUUUAUUUUUACUGACUCCUUCUGAUUCCUUCCUCCCAAAUUUUAUUUUAUUUCACAGAUAGAGUUUGGAUGUCCAGGAGAUUCACCGAGAGCGACAACAACCACCGUUGGCCUUUGUGGACUCCGUCGCUGCCCCAGGCUAUGGAAUCCUCGAACGUUGGGCAAGAACUGCAAAUAAAUAACCACAGUA